CGGGGGGGGCAAGCGUUGUUCGGAAUUACUGGGCGUAAAGGGCGCGUAGGUGGUUCGCUAAGUUGGAUGUGAAAACUCUGGGCUCAACCCAGAGCCUGCAUCCAAAAACUGGCGGGCUAGGGUUCUGGAGGGGGUAGCGGAAUUCCUGGUGUAGCGGUGAAAUGCGUAGAUAACAGGAGGAACACCGGUGGCGAAGGCGGCUACCUGGACAGAAACUGACGCUGAGGCGCGAAAGCUAGGGGAGCAAACAGGAUUAGAUACCCUGGUAGUCCUAGCCCUAAACGAUGGAUACUUGGUGUGACUGGGAUUGAAUCCAGUCGUGCCGAAGCUAACGCAUUAAGUAUCCCGCCUGGGGAGUACGGUCGCAAGGCUG
rnacentral:rRNA from 1 species